rnacentral:rRNA from 1 species
AAGGUUGACCUCGGAUCAGGUAGGGAUACCCGCUGAACUUAAG